rnacentral:rRNA from 1 species
ACGCGAUGAACCUUACCAGGUCUUGACAUCCUCUGACACUCCUAGAGAUAGGACGUUCCCCUUCGGGGGACAGAGUGACAGGUGGUGCAUGGUUGUCGUCAGCUCGUGUCGUGAGAUGUUGGGUUAAGUCCCGCAACGAGCGCAACCCUUGAUCUUAGUUGCCAGCAUUUAGUUGGGCACUCUAAGGUGACUGCCGGUGACAAACCGGAGGAAGGUGGGGAUGACGUCAAAUCAUCAUGCCCCUUAUGACCUGGGCUACACACGUGCUACAAUGGAUGGUACAAAGGGCAGCAAAGCGGUGACGCCUAGCAAAUCCCAUAAAACCAUUCUCAGUUCGGAUUGUAGGCUGCAACUCGCCUACAUGAAGCUGGAAUCGCUAGUAAUCGCGGAUCAGCAUGCCGCGGUGAAUACGUUCCCGGGCCUUGCACACACCGCCCGU